UGGCUAUGAAGAGAAAACUAUGCAGAUUGAAGCCCCGUGAUGGUUUUAUACGCUAUUCUGAGCCAACG